AUGCAGUCGAACGAGCUAGGUUACUCGUUNGUGGCGAACGGGGGAGUAAGGCGAGGAUAACCAACCUUUUUGACCAGAAUAACCCGGGGAAACCUGGACUAAGACUGGUUAGGAGCUGUUGNCCAAGAUGAUAGUUUUAAAGGUGCUUUCAAGCGCCGACCGAAGCUGGGACUGCCUCGCAUUGACUACUUGGUGAGAUAACGGCCCGCCAAGGCAACGAUGCGCCGCUGCGCUGAUGGGCGGAACAUCCACCCUGGGACUGAGACACGGCCCAAACUACUCCCGGAGGCAACACUAGGGAAUUGUCGGCAAUGGGAGAAAGCCUGACCGAGCAAUGCCGCGUGAAUGAAGAAGGUCUUCGGAUUGUAAAGUUCUGUUAUUGGGAAAGAAAGGUAUGUUCANGAAAUGGGACAUAUUUGACGGUACCCGAUUANAAAGCCCCGGCUAACUACGUGCCAGCANCCGCGGUA
rnacentral:rRNA from 1 species